rnacentral:tRNA from 1 species
GCCUGAGUGGCUCAGUUGGUUAAGCGUCUGACUUUGGUUCAGGUCAUGAUCUCGCGGUUUGUGAGUUCAAGUCCCGCGUCGGGCU